rnacentral:lncRNA from 1 species
AUUCAUUAUACUCCCUCCGUUUCUUAAUAAGUGUCACUUUGACAUUUUCACAUAUAUUAAGAAAUUGAAUAAAAUGUAUUUAAAUUGUUAUUAAUUACACAUGUUCGACCAAUAGUAUUUAAGAUAAAUAAAUUUAUUUAUAAAAUUAAUGCAGUUUGUAAUUAAUUUUUAGUUAAAAGUAAAUAUAAUUUGCAUUGGAAUUCUAAAGUAAUACUUUUUGUGUAACAAGAAAUAAAACGUUUGAAUGACACUUAUUAUAAAAUAAAGAGAGUAUAAUUUUAGUAACUUAAGUUUUCAUACUCUAGUAUAAGUAAAAUCUCAAUAACUCAAUCAAAUGUUAACCCAUUUAAUAUAUUAAGAUUUUUCACCAAAUUUAAAUAUAUAUCCUUAUUUACAGAUUUUAGAUAAAUCAUAACAACACCUUGUCUCCAAC